UUUCCUGAUGAUCAACUUUGCUUUUGCAAGUUGGAAUUACCGAUUGAUACCCAAUGAAAACAUAAAAGGCUGUAUCUGAUU
rnacentral:snoRNA from 1 species